CGGAGCGUUGAGCUGUGGACGAAACAAUCUGAUGCUGCAGCAGAAUCCGAGUCAAACUACAAGUCCAAAGGUGUUACAUCACCUCCACUUGGGCCCAUUGGCCUUGUACGACCUAGAUUUAGUUUUAGGCUGCCUUGGGACGUCCUCCCACCUCCUUGGCCGCCACCCCUUGCUCCUAUAUAAGUAGAUCCAUCUAGUAGCUUUUCCUUGGGUUUUGUUUAGAUUAAAAGUUCGCCAUAGCUGCAACUUCGCGUACUUCGUUUGUGUUCAACGACCAGACAAAGGCGUCACAGAACCCCACCUUGAUCAAUAAAGCUUUCAUCUUAUAUUCGCAAUAUCCAGAUUGCAAUCUCAGUUUCUUGCUUGUUCUUCGUUUGCUCGCAGGAAACAGACCCUCGUGGUCAGGUUGAUCGUGCUCCGGCGUGGUCAAUAACCUCUCGGAGUUGGUUUAGCGAUUGCUAAGGCGCGACGUCCUCGCACGUUCGUAGUCGGAUCGUCAAAGUCGACUUCCACCAAAGCGAUAUCCAUCAUCUCAUCGAAAGACGGGACACCUUUGCCUCUAUCAUUUUUGGGUUUUGUUUCUUGUUCUACUAAUCAUGACAGGAUCCAGAGUCAAUUCAUGGGCUUUGUCGAUCGCGGGAGAUGUGCCACCACCUUUGCAAAUACCACAACCGUCACGAGAGGUACACAAACAUCCAAAUGCACAUGAUCAGGUUAAUGUAUCUAUACCACCAUUUAAUGGCCGUUUUAAACCUGCUUUAUAUAUUGAAUGGGAGUUCGACAUAAAAAAUAUAUUUGCUUCCCAUAAUUUCAAUGAACAUAAAAAGGUUAAGGUUGCGGUUGGUUCUUUCACUGGUUAUGCUUUGGUUUGGUGGAGUGAAUAUUGUCGGUUGCACCCUGAUUAUAUACCUACUACUUGGGAUGAUUUGAAACUUGCCAUGCGACAUACUUUCGUCCCUGCUUAUUAUACUCGUGACAUGAUUAAGAAGUUGCAACACUUAAAACAAGGUAGUGAAACUGUAACAAAAUAUUAUGAUGAUUUACAAACUACCUUGUUGCAUUCCUCUUUAGAAGAAAGUGAAGAUGAUUUUAUGGAUAGAUUUUGGGGAGGAUUAAACCGUGAUAUUCAAGAGAUACUAAUUCAUGAAGAGUGUUAUCCUAUGGACCAUUUGUUUCAUCUUGCUUGCAAAGCUGAACAGGAAAUAAAACGACGUGUUGGCCACGAGGAGAACAAGCGCACGGUGCACAUUCCAAGAGUUGAUAUGAUUGUUCCUUCAACUACUAGGCAUACUAUGACAACCACAUCCGUUGUUGUCAGGACUACAUCACCUCCACCAUGUGACACAUCGCCCCCGAGAGUGGCUACGUCAUCUGAGUUGAUCAUAAGAGGUAAUGACAAAGGUACUGAUCUUCCAUCUCUACAUGAGAAUGAUGAAUGCCUUGUCAAUUUGAAUGCACCAUCUGAUGAGCUACCCACUAUUUUGAUCACACCACCUAUUUUAGAGGACUACGUUGAUAAUUUGACUUUGCCAUGUGAUCAAACAACUGAAAUACCAACAAUUUUGAGUGCACCCAUUGAAUUAACUAUUGAUGCAAAAGAAUCAAUGUUUAAUCAUUUUGAUAUGACCUCUAAUCUUGGUGAUGAUUCUGUGUUGAAUGACUUAUUGCAUGUUUGCUUAUUUAAGCAUGUUGUAGCAUGUAAAUUUGAUGCAAGUAAGGUUUAUUCACCAAUGUUGGGAUGGUUUAAUGAUGAACAUUGUCAAUCUUUUGAAAUGAAUAAGAGCUUCACUUAUAUGUGCAAACUGAGUUGCAAUAUUUUCAUGCCUUCUACUUCUUGUGCUAAUCUUUUGGCCUUAGAUUUUAUGAACUAUGCAAGUUACUCAUCUAUUCAUGUGUCAUAUAUGCAAAAAUCAAGGGAAGUAAAAAUGGAUGACAUAUACAUAUACAACAUGUACACCUUGUCUCUUUUGUUAGCCACAUUUCAGAUUAAGCAACGCCGAGGACGGCUUUAUUUUCAAGAAGGGGAGGAUGAUGAGGACAUGACUACCUUGGAUAUGACCAAAAAUAUUGCAUAUAUGCAUAUUUGUCAGGUGAUUUCUAGUGCAAACUAUUCAAUAAUCUAUUUAUGUUAUCCAGAACAAAAAUACUUCACACACUUUUGUGUUUUGUCUAAUUGCAGGUGUAUGGGACAUUUGUACAAUCCACAUAUGAAGAUAAGGAACAAAGAGAUGUUUAUUUGCUGUCCAAAAAGUUCUCUCACGUCACUUUUGGCCCAAGAGAAGAUAGAGUCCAAGUGAUAGAGGCAAAGGUGUCCCGUCUUUCGAUGAGAUGGUGGAUUUCGCUUUGGUGGAAGUCGACUUUGACGAUCCGACUACGAACGUGCGAGGACGUCGCGCCUUAGCAAUCGCUAAACCAACUCCGAGAGGUUAUUGACCACGCCGGAGCACGAUCAACCUGACCACGAGGGUCUGUUUCCUGCGAGCAAACGAAGAACAAGCAAGAAACUAAGAUUGCAAUCUGGAUAUUGCGAAUAUAAGAUGAAAGCUUUAUUGAUCAAGGUGGGGUUCUGUGACGCCUUUGUCUGGUCGUUGAACACAAACGAAGUACGCGAAGUUGCAGCUAUGGCGAACUUUUAAUCUAAACAAAACCCAAAGUCUAAACGAUGCCCUAAGGGCUGUAUAUAUGGAGGAAGAGGGGGGGAAUUUCGUGGCCCUUGGUGGAGGGGUCCGAAAUCAACCAUAUCUCUUGUUUCCCCACACAUACAGACUCUAAAAAUAGCCUAUACUUAUGUAUUUCGAAAUUACAUGGGCCUGGCCCAAUAAUAAGGUGACGCAGCACCUAAAAUAGCCUCGGGACGAAAUUUAUGAAGUGGCAUCUUGUAUAUUUCGUCCAAGGCUUCAUGCACCCAUUAUGGUGGCUUCAAAGUCCUGAAAUCAUCACUUGUAACUCCGUUCUUGUUUCCCUUGCGCAUGCCAUCAUCUCCAUGCUUGUUCUUGCUCCAAUGUUCAUCCUUCUCCAAGCUAGGCCCUUCAUUUGUAAGCAAAACAAAUGUAUCCAAUUUAGGCAGCAUCAUAUUCUCAUGAACAUUAGAAUCAUUACCAAGAAACGAAAGUACCUGGUAAUUUAGUUGGCGUGCACGAGCUCUAGUAAUUGGUCCAGUAUGUAUAGCAGCAGGGGCUGUGGGUGUAACAAUUGUAUUGAUGUCCUCAUCAAUAGGAUAACACUCUUCAUGAAUUAGUAUCUCUUGAAUAUCGCGGUUUAAUCCUCCCCAAAAUCUAUCCAUAAAAUCAUCUUCACUUUCUUCUAAAGAGGAAUGCAACAAGGUAGUUUGUAAAUCAUCAUAAUAUUUUGUUACAGUUUCACUACCUUGUUUUAAGUGUUGCAACUUCUUAAUCAUGUCACGAGUAUAAUAAGCAGGGACGAAAGUAUGUCGCAUGGCAAGUUUCAAAUCAUCCCAAGUAGUAGGUAUAUAAUCAGGGUGUAACCGACAAUAUUCACUCCACCAAACCAAAGCAUAACCAGUGAAAGAACCAACCGCAACCUUAACCUUUUUAUGUUCAUUGAAAUUAUGGGAAGCAAAUAUAUUUUUUAUGUCGAACUCCCAUUCAAUAUAUAAAGCAGGUUUAAAACGGCCAUUAAAUGGUGGUAUAGAUACAUUAACCUGAUCAUGUGCAUUUGAAUGUUUGUGCACCUCUCGUGACGGUUGUGGUAUUUGCAAAGGUGGUGGCACGUCUCCCGCGAUCGACAAAGCCCAUGAAUUGACUCUGGAUCCUGUCAUGAUUAGUAGAACAAGAAACAAAACCCAAAAAUAAUGUUCCUAUAACUACUAGGAUGUGGUGGUAAAACGCUCACAGUAAAGCAAAUAUCAAUGUCUUACAAGUUCUUACCAUGCAACAGGCGGUGAUCGGCAACCAGCGGUGUCAAGUAACUCCGAAUAUUGAGUAAAGCGAUUGCCAGGGGAGCAUACUAUACACGGUGUAGAAAUAUGUGGAGUUGGGUUGGCUAUAUAUGGUAGCAAAAGAUUAGCAAUAAUCAAUUCAAAGAUGCAAUGUUGAAUAAACGCUCAACGACGGUACUGUGCUGGUCCUAGGCUAGACCGGACUAGAGACGCGAGCCUAGAACACUAAUGAGGUCACGGCGUAGCACAACUAGCAUCAAUGAAGGAUAGUAAGUAGCUCUUGACAGCAAGAUAUAAGUGAAGAUCACAACGGCAGUGAAGAUAAUGAUGAAAAACAACUGCCAAGCAGGAUAUACAACAACUCUCUCUCCAACUUUCCUCUUAAAAAGUUUGAGACAAUUUUCUGAUAAAUUCUUUCAAAAAAUGCUACUAACUCAAGCUUUCCAAUGCAAAAAGAAUCACUCAAUUCCGAGUUGAUAUGAGGAGUCAAAGAAUUCUAAAACUGGCCUGAAAAAUUGGAACAAGUUGUGUUCACGAACUUCGGAGGACAAAAAGACCUAUUUAGAAGCCGAUCUUGAGGUGUCAAAUAUUGAACUAGCUUCUGCAACUAUUUAUAUGCGGCUCGUCGCUAGCUUCAAUUUGAGUACUCACGGAGCCAAAACGGACUUCGUAUGAGGAAGAUACACCUGUUUUACUGAACAGUGCGCAAAACAGAUUCCAAUCCGAAUUCAGGUACGAGAUUGAUUCUAGAUAGAUUCAAUUUUUUUUUCUUCUCUCUUUUUUUUUCUCACGCUUUUUUUUUCUUUUUCUUCUCUCUCUUUUUCUUUUUUUUUCCUUUUUUCUCUUUUUUUUUCUCUAUCUUUUUUUUUUCCCUCUUUCCAAGACAAACUAGAUAAGAUGCAGAUUCGAUCAGGCGAAGAUGUGAGUGACUCAACUAUGAUUAUGACAAUAAACAGUGCGUAGCACGUGGUGGAAAUUGGUGGAUUGGAUGGUGGACAGCGGAUGGGAUAAUGAUGCAGCGGCUGCGUGACUAAUGUGAACAGAACUCGAAACUCUAAAGGAACUAGACACUAAGACCAGCAACUCGACACGACGAUGCAACCGAUAAUUCAACUAUGCAAGCAAUGAAAAGAAAAUUGCAAAGGUUCAGACUGGCUUGGACCAAGGAUGAAUAGAUCUAACUCUUUUUUGUGGCUUUUUCUUGGACAAUAGGUAAGAAAAUAAAUCUAAUCUAGGAAAACUGGAAAUUCUCACCGAGCAACCUGAAAACUGAUACCACUUGAUAGAGGCGAGGUGUCCCGAUCUUUCGAUGAGAUGAUAACUAUCGAUUUGGUGGAGAUGACUUUGACGAUCCGACUACAAACGUGCACGACGUUGUGCCUUAGCAAUCGCUAAACCAACCCCGGGAGGUUAUUGACCACGCCGGAGCACAAUCAACCUGACCACGAAGGUCUAUUCCUGCAAGCAAUCGAAGAACAAGCAAGAAUAUGAUAAAAGCAAUCCGAAUAUUGCGAGUAUAUAUGAAGUAUUGAUAAAGGUGGGGAUCCGUAAGCGGUCUUGGUCUGGUCGUUGGACACAAACGAAGUACACGAAGUUGCAAUGGCUAACUUUUAACUAAACAAAUCCCAAGGAAAAAGCUACUAGAUGGAUCUACUUAUAUAGGAGCAAGGGGUGGCGGCCAAGGAGGUGGGAGGACGUCCCAAGGCAGCCUAAAACUAACCCUAGGUCGUACAAGGCUGAUGGGCCCAAGUGGAGGUGAUGUAACACCUUUGGACUUGUAGUUUGACUCGGAUUCUGCUGCAGCAUCAGAUUGUUUCGUCCACAACUCAACGCUCCGGACGAAUUUGAAGGUGAUUCCAAUUGGGUUGGAAAGUGCACGAAAUCUAGUUUCCAACAAAAAAAGAAUCACCCAAUUCGGAGUCCGUAUGAAAAACUUGUGUCCGUUUUGAGUCAGGUGUGUCUGUGCAGUCCGAAUCUGAAUCCAGAACGUGAGAGACUUGGACUCUAUCUUCUCUUGGGCCAAAAGUGACGUGAGAGAACUUUUUGGACAGAAAAUAAACAUCUCUUUCUUCCUUAUCUUCAUAUGUGGAUUGUACAAAUGUCCCAUACACCUGCAAUUAGACAAAACACAAAAGUGUGUGAAGUAUUUUUGUUCUGGAUAACAUAAAUAGAUUAUUGAAUAGUUUGCACUAGAAAUCACCUGACAAAUAUGCAUAUAUGCAAUAUUUUUGGUCAUAUCCAAGGUAGUCAUGUCCUCAUCAAACGCUGUGCAGGCCCCGCAGGUGCGCUCUUGGCAGAUAAUGGUGGUUGUGCCUGUUUUCUUGUAUCACGGCUGGAGGUGGCACCGGAUGGAGGUGCUGGUGCAGUUGAAGUAGAAGAUGCACGUGGUGUCCAUGAUGAAGGUCGGCCUGCAGAAAAGUUAGUUCGCCCCAAUGCUUGUCGAUCCUGCACUUCACGUUCAGCUUUACAAGCAAGAUGGAAUAAACGAGUAAUAUUAGUAUACUCCUUAUAGUCUAGAAUGGUCUGAAUCUCUCUAUUUAAUCCACCCAGAAAACGUGCAAGCAUAGCUUCAUUCUCCUCAACAAUACCACAUCUAAUCAUGCCAGUUUGUAAUUCCUGAUAAUAUUCUUCUACAGAAUUUUUCCCUUGUCUUAAACGCUGCAAUUUUUGAAGCAAUUCACGUUGAUAAUAUGGUGGAACCCAACGCGUACGCAUAGCAGUUUUCAAAGCAGCCCAAGUAGUUGGAAUAGGAUAUAAUCUACUGAUGAGGACAUGACUACCUUGGAUAUGACCAAAAAUAUUGCAUAUAUGCAUAUUUGUCAGGUGAUUUCUAGUGCAAACUAUUCAAUAAUCUAUUUAUGUUAUCCAGAACAAAAAUACUUCACACACUUUUGUGUUUUGUCUAAUUGCAGGUGUAUGGGACAUUUGUACAAUCCACAUAUGAAGAUAAGGAAGAAAGAGAUGUUUAUUUGCUGUCCAAAAAGUUCUCUCACGUCACUUUUGGCCCAAGAGAAGAUAGAGUCCAAGUCUCUCACGUUCUGGAUUCAGAUUCGGACUGCACAGACAUACCUGACUCAAAACGCACACAAGUUUUUCAUACGGACUCCAAAUUGGGUGAUUCUUUUUUUGUUGGAAACUAGAUUUCGUGCACUUUCCAACCCAAUUGGAAUCACCUUCAAAUUUGAUAGAGGCGAGGUGUCCCGAUCUUUCGAUGAGAUGAUAACUAUCGAUUUGGUGGAGAUGACUUUGACGAUCCGACUACAAACGUGCACGACGUUGUGCCUUAGCAAUCGCUAAACCAACCCCGAGAGGUUAUUGACCACGCCGGAGCACAAUCAACCUGACCACGAAGGUCUAUUCCUGCAAGCAAUCGAAGAACAAGCAAGAAUAUGAUAAAAGCAAUCCGAAUAUUGCGAGUAUAUAUGAAGUAUUGAUAAAGGUGGGGAUCCGUAAGCGGUCUUGGUCUGGUCGUUGGACACAAACGAAGUACACGAAGUUGCAAUGGCUAACUUUUAACUAAACAAAUCCCAAGGAAAAAGCUACUAGAUGGAUCUACUUAUAUAGGAGCAAGGGGUGGCGGCCAAGGAGGUGGGAGGACGUCCCAAGGCAGCCUAAAACUAACCCUAGGUCGUACAAGGCUGAUGGGCCCAAGUGGAGGUGAUGUAACACCUUUGGACUUGUAGUUUGACUCGGAUUCUGCUGCAGCAUCAGAUUGUUUCGUCCACAACUCAACGCUCCGGACGAAUUUGAAGGUGAUUCCAAUUGGGUUGGAAAGUGCACGAAAUCUAGUUUCCAACAAAAAAAGAAUCACCCAAUUCGGAGUCCGUAUGAAAAACUGUGUGCGUUUUGAGUCAGGUAUGUCUGUGCAGUCCGAAUCUGAAUCCAGAACGUGAGAGACUUGGACUCUAUCUUCUCUUGGGCCAAAAGUGACGUGAGAGAACUUUUUGGACAGCAAAUAAACAUCUCUUUCUUCAUUAUCUUCAUAUGUGGAUUGUACAAAUGCCCCAUACACCUGCAAUUAGACAAAACACAAAAGUGUGUGAAGUAUUUUUGUUCUGGAUAAUAUAAAUAGAUUAUUGAAUAGUUUGCACUAGAAAUCACCUGACAAAUAUGCAUAUAUGCAAUAUUUUUGGUCAUAUCCAAGGUAGUCAUGUCCUCAUCAAGUCUCGUUGGCUUGUGAUCCUGGCAUGGUUAGCAGCAAUAGAAACACACAAGAAUAUGAUCCUACAGACUACUAACAAGAGGUGGUGGUGGGUGUCACAAAUCUGUCAAGCAAAUCUCAAAUUCUUACCAGUUCUUACCUAGCAGCAGGCGGUGAUCGGCAACCGUUGUAGUCAAAAACUCUCAAAGCUUGGAUAGAGCGAUUACCAGGGAGAGUCAAACGCACGACGUAGAUGUAUGUGGAGCUGGGAAGGCUUAUAAUAUGGUAGCAAAAAGGGUCAGCAAUAAUCAAUUCAGAGAUGCAAAGUUGAAUAAACGCUCAACGACGGUACUGUGCUGGUCCUAGGCUAGACUGUGCUAGAGACGCGAGCCUAGAACACCAACAAAAUCACGGCGUGGCACGUAAACAAGGGAAAAGUACACUCUGGAUUUCUUUUUCGCUCUUUUUUUUGCGUUGUUUUUUUUGCGAAAAGUCACUAUAAUGGCGAGUGUCUCAAAACUCUUCCUAGGUCAAACUGAUAGGAUGGGCACGAAAUUUUUUCGACUGCCCGGACCCAAAAACUGGAAACGGGUCAAAAAAAACUUCCUAUAAUGGCACCUGUCUCAAAACACUCAGAAACACCUAAAAAUAGGAUUAGCCAGAAAUUUUUUCGAAAAAUGCGUUUUCGAAAAAUUUUGGGCCUAAACGGAGGGUGGUUUCCAGACUCUUUUUUUUUCGAAACCUACUCCGGCAAGGAAACACGAAUCGGAAUCUAGAUGGAUCUCGAAAACAAACCAAAUAUGACAAGAACUCGGAUUGGUGGUGGAUAUAUGGUAGUAGAUGGCAGCGGUGGUGGUAUAUGACAGCGGUGGUGGUAUAUGGAUACGGAUUCGAAGCGGUUGCGGAUAAGCGGCGGUGGUAGAUGGUAGGGGCGAUGAUGAUGGUGCGGCGGCGGCGUGACAACUUAUGACCAGAACUCGAAACUCUAAAAGACUAGACUCUAAGACCAGCAACUAGACACGACGAUGCAACCGCAAAUUCAACAAAGCAAAACCCUAAAAAGAUUAUGCAAAGGCUCAGAUUGGUUCGGAUAUGAUGAACUAACCCUAAUUUUUUUUUCCGAAACCUACUCCGGCAAGGUAACACAAAUCGGAAAAUAGAUGGAUCUCAAAAACAAACCUAAUAUGACAAGAACUCGGAUUGGUGGUGGAUAUAUGGUGGUAGAUGGCAGCGGUGGUAGUAUAUGACAGCGGUGGUGGUAUAUGGAUACGGAUUCGAAGCGGUGGUGGUAGAUGGCAGGGGCAAUGAUGAUGGUGCGGCGGUGGCGUGACAACUUAUGACCAGAACUCGAAACUCUAAAAGACUAGACUCUAAGACCAGCAACUAGACACGACGAUGCAACCGCAAAUUCAACAAAGCAAAACCCUAAAAAGAUUAUGCAAAGGCUCAGGUUGGUUCGGAUAUGAUGAACUAACCCUAAUUUUUUUUGUGGCUUUUUCGUGGACUGUAGGUAUGAAGAACAGACUCGAUCUAAACUACGAAAAACUGUAAAAUCUCACCGAGCAACCUGGAAAUCUGAUACCACUUGAUAGAGGCAAAGGUGUCCCGUCUUUCGAUGAGAUGAUGGAUAUCGCUUUGGUGGAAGUCGACUUUGAUGAUCCGACUACGAACGUGCGAGGACGUCGCGCCUUAGCAAUCGCUAAACCAACUCCGAGAGGUUAUUGACCACGCCGGAGCACGAUCAACCUGACCACGAGGGUCUGUUUCCUGCGAGCAAACGAAGAACAAGCAAGAAACUAAGAUUGCAAUCUGGAUAUUGCGAAUAUAAGAUGAAAGCUUUAUUGAUCAAGGUGGGGUUCUGUGACGCCUUUGUCUGGUCGUUGAACACAAAUGAAGUACGUGAAGUUGCAGCUAUGGCGAACUUUUAAUCUAAACAAAACCCAAAGUCUAAAUGGUGCCCUAAGGGCUGUAUAUAUGGAGGAAGAGAGGGGGAAUUUCGUGGCCCUUGGUGGAGGGGUCCGAAAUCAACCCUAUCUCUUGUAUCCCCACACAUACGGACUCUAAAAAUAGCUUAUACUUAUGUAUUUCGAAAUUACAUGGGCCUGGCCCAAUAAAAAGGUGACGCAGCACCUAUAAUAGCCUCGGGACGAAAUUUAUGAAGUGGCAUCUUGUAUAUUUCGUCCAAGGCUUCAUGCACCCAUUAUGGUGGCUUCAAAGUCCUGAAAUCAUCACUUGUAACUCCGUUCUUGUUCCCCUUGCGCAUGCCAUCAUCUCCAUGCUUGUUCUUGCUCCACUGUUCAUCCUUCUCCAAGCCAGGCCCUUCAUUUGUAAGCAAAACAAAUGUAUCCAAUUUAGGCAGCAUCAUAUUCUCAUGAACAUUAGAAUCAUUACCAAGAAACGAAAGUACCUGAUAAUUUAAUUGGCGUGCGCGAGCUCUAGUAAUUGGUCCCGUAUAUGUAGCAGUAGGGGCUGUGGGUGUAACAAUGGUAUUGAUGUCCUCAUCAGAAGCCGGAUAAUCCGGGCUGGUCCGGAUGAUCCAGGUGGAGGCCCGGAUGAUCCGGAGACUCGGCUGGUGGAGGCGCAGGGCCGGAUGUCCGGCUGGCGGUCCGGACAUCCGGGCAGGGUCCGGAUGAUCCGGCUUCAGGGGGGAGGCUUUUGUAGUCUUCGGUCGAAUUAGCCGGAUCGUCCGGGCCGGGGUCCGGAUCGUCCGGGCUCUGUCCGGAUUGUCCGGGCCGCCGUCCGGAUCGUCCGGCCACCCUGGUCCUUGGUGCUUUUUCCUCUCCAUCUUCAUGCAUGUCUUCCGCUUCCGGUUCUCCUUGCUUCCUAGCUUCUUCACGGUGAACUCCUUGGUACCUGAGUAUGCAUAGCGUUUCCGUUUGAGGUAGUAACCAUGUCUCAUGUGAAUCGAAAGGGAAUUGUGAGAGGAGUGAUGUCACCUCGGUUUCAAGAGCUCUUGCACGUGCUCGAGUCAUAGGUCCUUGAGGGGUUGGAUGUGUUGCUGUAGAGUCCAUGGGGAUGAUGGAAGGAUGCUCCGCAUCAUAUCCCCUCCCUUUGAAAGGAUUCGACCUCGGAUCUAGAUCUUCAUCACCAUGGAAAGGCGAGAGGUCUUUGACGUUGAAGGUGUCGCUCACGUUGUACUUGUUGCUUGGUAGGUCGAGCUUGUAGACGUUGUUGUUGUAGCGUGCUAACAACUUGAAGGGUCCAUCGGCUCGAGGUAGUAGUUUGGACUUGCGUUCGUUGGGGAAGCGUUCCUUGCGAAGGUGUAGCCACACGAGAUCGCCUAUGUUGAAGAUCAUGGGUUGUUUGUUGAUGUUGAGCUUGGUCGCUAGUCAUUGUACUUGGUGCUCGAUGGUGUUUCUUGUAUCUUCAUGCAUCUUCUUGAUGUAGCUUGCAUGGGCAAUUGCGUCGAGAUUGGUGCGCUCUUGUAGAGGAAGAGGUAGAAUGUCCAAUGGGGACAAUGGGUUGAAGCCGUAGAUGACCUCGAAGGGGGACUUGCCGGUAGUCGUAUGUCUUGCGCGGUUGUAGGCGUACUCGGCGAUGGGUAGACACGCCUCCCACUCCUUGAUGUUCUUCUUGAUCAACACGCGAAGUAGAGUGGAUAGUGUCCGGUUCGUCACCUCCGUUUGGCCGUCGGUUUGAGGAUGGUAUGCGGAUGAGAACAAGAGCUUGAUUCCGAGCUUGGCGCAUAGAGUCUUCCAAAAGUAACUCAAGAACUUGACGUCGCGGUCGGAGACGAUUGUCUUUGGUACUCCAUGGAGGCGCAAGAUUUCCCUACAAAAGAGAUUUGCAAUAUGUGAAGCAUCGUCUAUCUUGUUGCAAGGAAUGAAAUGUGCCAUCUUAGAAAAUCGGUCCACAACGACAAACACGGAAUCCUUUCCAUGUUGAGUUCUAGGCAAACCAAGUACAAAAUCCAUACUAAUGUCUUCCCAAGGUUGAUAAGGAAUAGGAAGUGGCAUGUAAAGACCAUGGGAUUGAGCUUUUGACUUAGCUUUGCGACAUGUAGAGCAUCGUGUGGUGAAGCGUGAGACAUCGCGGAACAUCUUUGGCCAAAAGUAGUUCUUGGAGAGCGUGGCGAAAGUCUUGUCGCGUCCAAAGUGUCCCAUGAGUCCACCUCCAUGAGCCUCUUGCAAAAGUAGCAAACGAAGAGAAGACUCGGGAAUGCAUAGUUUGUUAGCUCUCAUAAGAUAACCAUCCUUGAUGUAAUAUCGUUCCCAAGAUGUAUGCGUCAAACAUUUAGCAUAAUGAGGUGCAAAAGAUGGAUCAUUGGCAUACAAGUCUUUUAUGUGUUCAAAGCCAAUGACAUUCAACUCAAGUUUAAUCACAAGCGUGCAUAUGCGAGAAAGUGCAUCGGCAACUACAUUUUCCUUACCCUUAAUGUACCUAAUCACAUAUGGGAAAGAUUCAAUAAAUUCACUCCAUUUUGCAUGACGCUUGUUCAAUUUAGUUUGACCUUUUAAAUACUUAAGCGUUUCAUGAUCGGUAUGGAUGACAAAUUCAUGAGGUCUAAGAUAAUGUUCCCAAACAUGUAGGACACGCACUAAAGCAUACAAUUCUUUGUCAUAUACGGGAUAGUUAAGUUGAGCACCGGAGAGUUUUUCACUAAAAUAAGCAAUGGCUCGUUUUUCUUGCAUCAAAACUCCGCCAAUUCCGGUACCACUUGCAUCACAAUGAACCUCAAAAGUUUUGUCAAAAUUGGGCAAAGCAAGAAUCGGAGCAUGAGUAAGCAAAGACUUGAGCUCAUCAAAAGCGGUUGAUUGCAAAGUUCCCCAAACAAAAGGAGUAUUCUUCUUGCUCAAGGCAUGCAAAGGAGCGGCUAUUGUGCUAAAGUUUUUCACAAAUCGGCGAUAAAAUCCUGCAAGGCCAAGGAAACUACGCACUUGUUGCAAAUUGGUUGGUUGGGGCCAAGUUUUAAUUGCCUCAAUUUUAGUUUCGUCAACAUGAACUCCUUUUGAAGAGACAACAAAUCCCAAGAAAACCACUUUGUCAACACCAAACGUGCAUUUUUUCAAAUUUGCAUAAAGGCUUUCCUUGCGAAGGGUUUGCAAAACAGAUUUAACAUGAUUAAUAUGGUCUUUCAUUGUUUUGCUAAACACAAGAAUGUCAUCAAAGUAAACCACAACAAAUACUCCAAUGUAAGGUCUAAGCACAUGAUGCAUAAGACGCACGAAGGUACCGGGAGCUUCCGAUAAACCCAUAGGCAUAACUAACCACUCAUAUAAGCCAAAUUUGGUUUUAAAAGCAGUUUUCCAUUCAUCACCUUCUUGAAUGCGAAUUUGGUAAUAGCCACUUUUAAGAUCUAUUUUUGAGAAAAAGUUGGCUCCACUAAGUUCAUCAAGCAUAUCAUCUAAGCGAGGAAUGGGAUGCCUAUAGCGAAUGGUAAUAGCAUUUAUAGGUCUACAAUCGGAACACAAGCGGAAACUUCCAUCGGGCUUAGGCACAAGUAUAACGGGAACGGCACAAGGGCUUAAGCUUUCACGUACAUGACCGUUGUCGAUGAGUUGUUGUACUUGCCGUUGAAUCUCCUUGGUUUCUUCGGGAUUGACUCGGUAUGGAGCUUUGUUUGGAAGUGGCACUCCGAGGAUGAGGUCGAUUCGAUGCUCAAUGCCUCGUAGAGGAGGUAGACCCGGAGGUAGCUCAUCAGGGAAAACAUCUUGGAAUUCCUGCAAAAGAGAUUGAAACACUAAAGGUAGCUCGUGAGAAGUGUUAGUUUUUGGUUCUCCAUCCUUGCACACAAGGACAAAGUGCAUCACACUCGAUGGGUUCUCACACACUUCUCUUAUCUCACUUUUGGUGGCGAAUAGGAUGAGGUUUUUCUCUCUAGGCGAAGAGGCGCUCAUAUUUGGCUUGUGGCUCUCACUCACUUUUGGGUGGGUGACUUUCUCACUCUUCUCUCUAUGGUGGGUGGCUUGCUUGUCGGUUAUCACUUGACUAGGAGACAUAGGUCGUAGCACAUACUCCUUCCCUUUCAUCUUGAAGCUAUAUUGAUUGGUUCGCCCAUUGUGGAUGACACCACGGUCGAAUUGCCAUGGUCGACCAAGGAGGUGGCAAAUGGUCAUUGGGACCACAUCACAUUCCAAAGUGUCUUCAUAAGCACCUAUUUGGAAAGAGACCUGGACCGUAUGCUCGACUCGUAUAGUGCCGGAGUCACUUAGCCAUUGAACCUUGUAGGGGUGCGGGUGCUUCUUCUUGAUCAAUUGAAGCUUGGAGCAUAGUUCUUCACUUGCCAAGUUGUGGCAACUACCUCCAUCGAUGAUGACCUUGACGGACCUUCCAUUGAUGUCGGCCUUUGUGUGGAAGAUGUGGCAUCGUUGGUCUUCUUCUUGUUGAUGCUGAAGUGUCAAGACCUUGGAGACAACAAGAGCGGGGCUCGUAUCUUCAUCACAAAAGACUUGAUCAUCUUCAUCCUCGUUCAUGCGCUGUUGCAUGGCCACUUGCUCAAUAGCUUCCAUUUCAUCUUCACUCAUUGAGUCGUAGGUGCCGUCGUCGUUGAGGAUCAUGGUGCGCUUGUUGGUGCAUUCAUAGGACUUGUGGCCUCGGCCGCCGCAAGUGAAACACUUGAAGGAGCUUGUUUUGAUGGUCUCAUCGGUCGGAGUAGAUGAUGAAGCACGCGGCUUGAAGUUGCUUGUAGUAGGAGGAAGACGACUUGAACUUGUGGAAGUUUUCUUGUAACUUGACUUGUCGUCGUUGCUUGGAGAAGGUUUGGUUGAUGUCGAAGUUGGAGGAGUUGUUGAAGCUUGGAUGUUGGAGAAGCCGUGUGUCUUGUAGGAGUACUUGGCGUACUUGAAGUCAUCUUGCACUUGACGUUCCGCCUUUGUAGCUUGAUGCACGAGCUCAAUGAGGUUGGAGUAGGGUUGGAAGUCGGCGAUCUUCUUGAUGGGAUGAUUGAGUCCAUUCAAGAAUCGUGCCAUUGUUUGCUCAUCAUCUUCCGUGACAUUGGCUCAAAUCAUGGCAAUCUCCAUUUCCUUGUAGUAUUCUUCAACACUCUUUGUUCCUUGCUUGAGGAGUUGUAGCUUCUUGAAGAGAUCGCGGUUGUAGUAGGUUGGCACAAAACGUGCUCGCAUGACAUCCUUCAUUUGAGUCCAAGUGGUGAUUGGAGGUUCACCUCUUGCUUCCCGGCGUUCAAGGACUUGUUCCCACCAUAUGAGCACAUAGUCUUGGAACUCAAGUGAUGCCAUAGCGAUCUUCUUCUCUUCCUCAUAGUUGUGCAAACGAAAGAUUUUGUCGACCUUCAAUGCCCAUGAGAGGUACUCUUCCGGAUCAUUGCUUCCCUUGAACUUGGGCAUUGUGAACUUGAGCUUGCCAUAGCGUUGCUCUUCAUUGUGUUGUUGGCGAUGGUGAUGAUGACGUCCUUGGCGUGGAGGGUAGUCAUCCUCAUGUUGCUCUUGGCGCGGAGGAAGUCCAUGAUCAACUUGCUCUUGUUGAACUUGAGGUUGAAGGGGAGCUUGACGAGCUUGAGGAGGGGCUUGUGGAGCUUGCCGUUGCGCACGCGGAUGGUAGUUCCUCUCUUGGAUUUCUUCUCAAAGGGCUUCCUCUUGAUUGCGCCGUUCGCGAUUGCGGUUGGCGAUGGCUCGACUUGAUUCUUGAAGGGCACAUUGUGCCUCAAGCGUUUGCGCUUCUCGUUGUUGUUGUUGAAGACGUUGAGCCUCGGCGUCUUGUUGUUCUUGGUGUAGACGCACUCGUUCUUCUUCUUGUCGCCGUAGUCGUUGUCGUUCUUGAGCUUGAGCAAAAGCCACUUGGUUUGAUGGAGGACGAGGGACUUGCUCAUCGACUUGCUCUUGUGGAUGCUUGUCUUGUAGUGGGUUCCGAGAUGCAUGACGGUCUUGACGCGCGGCUCAUCGAAGAAUGGUCGAUGACGGUGUACUUGAGCCGGAGAAGGUGUCAUCGGGGUGUCGACUCGAGCGGCUCCGUCUUGAGGAGGAAGAAGUGGAAUGAUGCCGGUUCCUCAUCAAGGCGCGGAUCUCAUCCAUUCUUGCAUCAUUUUCUUGCUUGUGAGAGUCGAACUUGUCGUCGAAGUAGUCUCUUGUACGUUGCUCGGAGAGUCGCAAGUCGGUGGCGAGGUUGUCGAUGCGGUCGCUCAUAGCUUGUUGCUCUUGGUGUAACGCCCUUUGAGCACCAAAGAGGUGGCUCUUUGUGACGAAUGAUGACAUGUCGUCGCCGUUCUCGAUGAGAGGUGGAUUUGUAGAAGAACUUGGCCUAUCCAUCAUACCAAGUAAAAUUGUGAGUGGUAGAAGGAGAAGAACUAAUACCAAUGUACCUUUGACCUAAGUUGAAGAUGAAUCAAGUUCACUCAAAUGUGGACAAUGAAAUAGCACUAUUGGUACCAAUCCUUGUCGAUUCUCACACCUACACAAGUAAAAGCUUUUGGUGGAGCUUGGUUAGGAUGGUGGCACAAAAUUGAUUGCAAUUGUUAGCUUGACUAAAAAAUGUUGAAAAGGAUUCGCAAAUUCGCAAAUGUAACAAGUAGACCAAGCAAGUAGUGGUACACGGAAACACACACGCAAAUAGAUAAAUGGGAUUGUGCAAACCAAAAGUGAGCCAAAAUGUGGAAUCCACGAAAAUGCUCUUGUUGCACAAUACUAGAGAGACGCUAGCACGAUUGCACAAUAGGCGGAUACGGAGCUUGUGCACAACCUACUAGGCAAAAAUGCAAUGAUCUCUAUCCCAAGUAUGCUAUAUGUAUGGUAUUUCGGUGCAAUGAUCCAAGAUGAUCUUAUAUGACAAUCUUAAUGUUGUAUGAUGCUAUGCUUCUUGCUCAUAAGCUCGUUGCUUAUCUUUCCUCUUUGCUUAAAAGCUUGAGUGGCUCUUUCUCUUGUGAGCUCUUUUCUUAUGCAAACUUCACGAACCAAGAUAGCAAUUGUGUAUGCGAUGACAACUUUGUGACACACAAGUUGAUUCUGAGAUAUGCACCAGGAUGAUAUAUAUGAUAUGGGGUAUGCUUACUAAUGUGCACAAGUCACGUUGCCGGCAAUACUCAAUGGCUAGUCUCGAUGGGUAAGCAACGCAAAAGAUGGUAUAGGAUGGUUAUCAAUGCAAUUGCGAGGUAUGACAAAGAUGUCGUCGAAGUUACCGUCCGUAGCGAAGAUGAGUAGUCGACGAAAAGGAGCGGUAGUUGUUGAUGUCGCACCGCGCCUAAAUAGCCGAAACACAAAAGGACACGGAAAUAUCACUCAAAUUGUCGAACCCAAAGUCGAAUGGUAGUACGGAGGUUGUGUUGCUGGGGUUUGGCAGGUGGAAGUGGUGGUGGUUGGGGUGGUGGAGGAGGACUGCAAAACUGCAGUUUCGGCAGAGGAAGCCGGAUGAUCCAGGCCAGGAGCCGGAUGAUCCGGGCGUGUCCGGAUGAUCCGGGUCGAGGUCCGGAUGAUCCGGGCAGGUCAAUCUCGCUCGGGAACUGCUCGGGAAGAACACGAAAACGGGGAGAAAUUUGAUGAUUUCGCGGAUUUUGGAUGGAUUUCUAGGUGGAGAAGGUGGGGAAAAGCAAGAUCCACGAGUUACACACCGAAUCCACGGAUCAAAAUCAACAAAACAUCAUCAAAACUAACAAAUCACAAAAGAAUUUGGGGUUAUUUUUUUGUGGGGAUUUUCGGAUUUAGGACGAAAACAACAAAAUCAAGCUAGAAAAAGAGGGGUAGGGCCUCCAAAACGUGAUCAACGUGGCUCAUGAUACCAUAAUGAUGUAGGGUGGAACCCUAUAGCGUCGAUCUUUCACGUUUGGAGUGGAUCCUACGGGGAGACACGAAGAACACGCGGAAGCACAAAAGGAAAACACGGGGAAAACGAGAGAGAAUCACUCAACCAACAAGGAAUCGAUCACACAAGUGCUAGAUCACCACACACAUAAGUGAUACAUAUGAUCCACAAUCAACAAAGGGAAAGGAUACAACGGAAUCGUUCUUCUCCAAGAGGAGGCCUUGAUGUUCUUCCCUAAAGAGGGGUCUUGAAUCCGCUUGGGGAUCUUCUCCGGAGAGGUCCUGAUCUCCGAGGAGAAGUAUCCAAGUGGAUGAGCAAAGGCUCUCACACAAACAUGAGCUAAUCCAAUGCUAAGUCUCAAAAGGAGGAGGAAGAGUCCUAUUUAUAGGCUAGGGGGCGAAGGGGUACACGGGCUCAGCCCAACACGCGCACACAGGCGCUGGCCGGAUGAUCCGGGUCCGAAGCCGGAUGAUCCGGGCUGGUCCGGAUGAUCCGGGUGGAGGCCCGGAUGAUCCGGAGACUCGGCUGGUGGAGGCGCAGGGCCGGAUGUCCGGCUGGCAGUCCGGACGUCCGGGCAGGGUCCGGAUGAUCCGGGACGGGCUCUGGAUGAUCCGGCUUCAGGGGGGAGGCUUCUGUAGUCUUCGGUCGAAUUAGCCGGAUCGUCCGGGCCGGGGUCCGGAUCGUCCGGGCUCUGUCUGGAUCGUCCGGGUCGCCGUCCGGAUCGUCCGGCCACCCUGGUCCUUGGUGCUUUUUCCUCUCCGUCUUCAUGCAUGUCUUCCGCUUCCGGUUCUCCUUGCUUCCUAGCUUCUUCACGGUGAACUCCUUGGUACCUGAGUAUGCAUAGCGUUUCCGUUUGAGGUAGUAACCAUGUCUCAUGUGAAUCGAAAGGGAAUUGUGAGAGGAGUGAUGUCACCUCGGUUUCAAGAGCUCUUGCACGUGCUCGAGUCAUAGGUCCUUGAGGGGUUGGAUGUGUUGCUGUAGAGUCCAUGGGGAUGAUGGAAGGAUGCUCCGCAUCACAAAGUGUCCCAUUAAUCCUCCUCCAUGUGCCUCCUGCAACAACAAAAGACGAACGGAGCUAGCUGGAAUGCAUAGCUUGUUAGCACGAAACACAAAUCCAUCGUUAAGAACGAACUUGUUCCAAGUUCUCCCUUCCUUACAAUUCUGCAAUAUAUCUUUAAAUUCAGCAUCAUGAACGUAUUGAUCUUUGAUGGUCUCCAAACCAAAUAUUUUAAAGUCAAGUUGUGAAAGCAUAGUAUAACGACGAGACAAGGCAUCAGCAAUAACAUUUUCUUUACCCUUCUUGUGUUUAAUGACAUAAGGGAAAGUCUCAAUGAAUUCAACCCAUUUAGCAUGUCUACGGUUCAGUUUUGCUUGACUUUUAAUGUGUUUCAAAGAUUCAUGAUCAGAAUGUAUAACAAAUUCCUUGGGCCAUAAAUAAAGUUGCCAUGUUUCUAAGGUCCGAACAAGAGCAUAUAAUUCUUUAUCAUAAGUAGAAUAGUUCAGACUAGGCCCACUCAAUUUUUCAAAAAAGUAUGCAACAUGUUUUCCAUCUUGUAAUAACACACCUCCUAAUCCAAUUCCACUAGCAUCACAUUCAAGCUCAAAAGUCUUAUUGAAAUUAGGAAGUUGGAGUAAAGGAGCAUGUGUCAACUUAUCUUUCAAUACCGUGAAAGCUUCCUCCUGUGCGGUACCCCAAACAAAAGGCACAUCCUCCUUUGUAAGCUCGUUGAGAGGUGCAGCAAUGGUGCCGAAAUCUCUCACAAAACGCCUAUAGAAACCAGCGAGGCCAAGGAAACUCCUCACUUGUGUGACCGUUUUGGGCUGCGGCCAACUCUCAAUAGCUUCAAUCUUGGCUUUAUCAACUUCAAUUCCCUGUGGAGUAACAACAUAGGCAAGAAAAGAUACUCGGUCGGUGCAAAAGGUGCACUUUCCAAGGUUUCCAAACAAACGUGCAUCACGUAGAGCAAUAAAAACAGCACGUAAAUGUUCCAAAUGUUCCUCCAAAGAUUUGCUAUAAAUCAAUAUGUCAUCAAAGUAAACUACCACAAAUCGUCCAAUGAAAGCACGUAAAACUUCGUUCAUUAACCUCAUGAAAGUACUAGGUGAUAGAGGCAAAGGUGUCCCGUCUUUCGAUGAGAUGAUGGAUAUCGCUUUGGUGGAAGCUGACUUUGACGAUCCGACUACGAACGUGUGAGGACGUCGCGCCUUAGCAAUCGCUAAACCAACUCCGAGAUGUUAUUGACCACGCCGGAGCACGAUCAACCUGACCACGAGGGUCUGUUUCCUGCGAGCAAACGAAGAACAAGCAAGAAACUAAGAUUGCAAUCUGGAUAUUGCGAAUAUAAGAUGAAAGCUUUAUUGAUCAAGGUGGGGUUCUGUGACGCCUUUGUCUGGUCGUUGAACACAAACGAAGUACGCGAAGUUGCAGCUAUGGCGAACUUUUAAUCUAAACAAAACCCAAAGUCUAAACGGUGCCCUAAGGGCUGUAUAUAUGGAGGAAGAGAGGGGGAAUUUCGUGGCCCUUGGUGGAGGGGUCCGAAAUCAACCCUAUCUCUUGUUUCCCCACACAUACGGACUCUAAAAAUAGCCUAUACUUAUGUAUUUCGAAAUUACAUGGGCCUGGCCCAAUAAAAAGGUGACGCAGCACCUAUAAUAGCCUCGGGACGAAAUUUAUGAAGUGGCAUCUUGUAUAUUUCGUCCAUGGCUUCAUGCACCCAUUAUGGUGGCUUCAAAGUCCUGAAAUCAUCACUUGUAACUCCGUUCUUAUUCCCCUUGCGCAUGGCAUCAUCUCCAUGCUUGUUCUUGCUCCAAUGUUCAUCCUUCUCCAAGCUAGGCCCUUCAUUUGUAAGCAAAACAAAUGUAUCCAAUUUAGGAAGCAUCAUAUUCUCAUGAACAUUAGAAUCAUUACCAAGAAACGAAAGUACCUGAUAAUUUAAUUGGGGUGCGCGAGCUCUAGUAAUUGGUCCCAUAUAUGUAGCAGUAGGGGCUGUGGGUGUAACAAUGGUAUUGAUGUCCUCAUCAUCCUCCCCUUCUUGAAAUGAAGUCGUCCUCGACGGAAACUCAUUUUCCUCACCCAAAUAAGGCUUCAAAUCUGCAAUGUUAAAAGUGGGACUAACCCCAAAAUGUGCAGGCAGCUCAAGUUUAUAUGCAUUAUCAUUUAUUUUCUCUAACACCUUAAAGGGACCAUCAACACGUGGCAUUAGCUUUGAUUUGCGCAAAUCAGGAAAUCUAUCCUUACGCAAAUGUAACCAAACAAGAUCUCCAGGUGCAAACACAACAUGUUUUCUACCCUUAUCUCCAGCAAGUUUAUAUUUAGCAUUCAUACGCUCAAUGUUUUCCUUAGUUAACUCAUGCAUUUUUAAAAUCAAUUCAGCACGUUGUUUAGCAUCAAAAUUAACCUUCUCCGAAGAUGGAAGAGGCAACAAAUCAAUAGGUGCACGAGGUAGGAAACCAUACACAACUUCAAAAGGGCACAUCUUAGUAGUAGAAUGCAAUGAACGAUUAUAAGCAAAUUCAAUAUGAGGCAAGCAUUCCUCCCACAUUUUCUUAUUAUUCUUCAAAACAGCCCUAAGCAUAGUAGACAACGUUCUAUUGACUACUUCAGUUUGUCCAUCAGUUUUGGGGUGACAAGUAGUACUAAAAAGCAGUUUAGUCCCCAACUUAGCCCAUAAACAUCUCCAAAAGUGGCUAAGAAAUUUAGUAUCACGAUCUGAAACAAUAGUAUUUGGCACACCAUGCAAGCGAAUAAUUUCACGAAAGAACAAACCAACAACAUUAACAGCAUCAUCGCUUUUAUGACAUGGUAUAAAGUGUGCCAUUUUCGAGAAUCUAUCCACGACAACAAAUAUGCUAUCCCUCCCCUUCUUUGUUCGAGGUAAACCUAAAACAAAGUCCAUAGAUAUAUCCUCCCAAGGAACACUAGGUACAAGCAAAGGCAUAUAUAAACCAUGAGGAUUGAGUCGUGACUUAGCUUUUUGACAUGUAGUGCAUCGAGCAAUAAAACGCUCAACAUCCCGUCUCAUCUUUGGCCAAAAGAAAUGUGUAGCAAGUACGUCCUCCGUCUUCUUCACACCAAAGUGUCCCAUUAAUCCUCCUCCAUGCGCCUCCUGCAACAACAAAAGACGAACGGAGCUAGCUGGAAUGCAUAGCUUGUUAGCACGAAACACAAAUCCAUCUUUAACGACGAACUUGUUCCACAUUCUUCCUUCUUUACAAUUCUGCAUUACAUCUUUAAAAUCAGCAUCAUGCACAUAUUGAUCUUUGAUGGUCUCCAAACCAAAUAUUUUGAAGUCAAGUUGUGAAAGCAUAGUAUAGCGGCGAGACAAUGCAUCAGCAAUAACAUUUUCUUUUCCCUUCUUGUGUUUAAUGACAUAAGGAAAAGUCUCAAUGAAUUCAACCCAUUUAGCAUGUCUACGAUUCAGUUUAGCUUGACUUUUAAUAUGUUUCAAAGAUUCAUGAUCAGAAUGUAUAACAAAUUCUUUGGGCCAUAAAUAAUGUUGCCAUGUUUCUAAAGUCCGAACAAGAGCAUAUAAUUCUUUAUCAUAAGUAGAAUAAUUCAGACUAGGCCCACUCAAUUUUUCAGAAAAGUAUGCAACAGGUUUGCCAUCUUGUAAUAACACACCGCCUAAUCCAAUUCCACUAGCAUCACAUUCAAGCUCAAAAGUCUUAUUAAAAUCAGGAAGUUGGAGUAAAGGAGCAUGUGUCAACUUAUCUUUCAGUACCGAGAAGGCUUCUUCCUGUGCGGUACCCCAAAGAAAAGGCACAUCUUUCUUUGUAAGCUCAUUGAGAGGUGCAGCAAUGGUGCUGAAAUCUCUCACAAAACGCCUAUAGAAUCCAGCGAGGCCAAGAAAACUCCUCACUUGUGUGACCGUUUUGGGUUGCGGCCAACUCUCAAUAGCUUCAAUCUUGGCUUUAUCAACUUCAAUUCCCUGUGGAGUAACAACAUAGCCAAGAAAAGAUACUCGGUCGGUGCAAAAGGUGCACUUCCCCAGGUUACCAAACAAACGUGCAUCACGUAGAGCAAUAAAAACAGCACGUAAAUGUUCCAAAUAUUCUUCCAAAGAUCUGCUAUAAAUCAAUAUGUCAUCAAAGUAAACUACCACAAAUCGUCCAAUGAAAGCACGUAAAACUUCGUUCAUUAAUCUCAUGAAAGUACUAGGUGCAUUAGUUAACCCAAAAGGCAUGACUAACCACUCAUAUAAUCCAAACUUAGUUUUGAAUGCUGUUUGCCAUUCAUCUCCCAAUUUCAUACGAAUUUGAUGGUAUCCACUACGCAAAUCAACUUUGGAGAAUAUUGUAGAGCCACUCAAUUCAUCAAGCAUAUCAUCUAGCCUAGGAAUAGGAUGACGAUAACGAAUAGUAAUAUUAUUAAUGCUUCUACAAUCAACACACAUACGUGAUGUACCAUCCUUUUUCGGCACUAGAAUAAUAGGAACAACACAAGGACUAAGGGAUUCGCGUAUAUAACCUUUGUCGAGAAGCUCUUGUACUUGACGCAUAAUCUCCUUCGUCUCCUCUGGAUUGGUACGGUAUGGUGCACGGUUUGGCAGUGAAGCACCGGGAAUUAAGUCAAUCUGAUGCUCAAUCCCUCGAAUAGGCGGUAAUCCCGGUGGCACGUCUUGUGGAAAGACGUCAGCGAACUCCUGCAAAAUGUUAAUGACAGCAGGAGGCAAAGAGGAAGGCACGUCCUCGAAUGAAAAUAAUGCCUCUUUGCACACAAAAGCAUAGCAAACAGAUUUGCUGAAAUCUAGCUCAUCAAUAUCAGAUUUGGUGGCAAAUAAACAUGCACUUUUCAAUUUAAUUUCAGAAGCAACACUAGAUGGUUUAUUAUUAGGCUUCAUUUGUUGCUCAAAUUCUUUUGCCACAAUCUGAUUUUCACUCUUAUUCGUCUCCUGUUUUGCUUUAUUAGCUCUAUUAAUAUCAUCUUUCAAAAUGGAAUCAGGAGUCAUGGGAAGCAAAGUAAUAUUUUUAUCCUUAUGAACAAGAGUAUAGUGAUUGUUUCUACCAUGGUGUACAGAAUUUUUAUCAAAUUGCCAUGGUCUACCAAGUAAUAAGGAACAUGCUUGCAUAGGUACCACAUCACAAUCAACAUAAUCAGCAUAUGUAGAGAUAUUAAAAUGCACACGAACAGUACGUGUUACCUUAACCUUGCCGCUGUUGUUGAACCAUUGGAUGUAGUAAGGAUGUGGAUGUGGUCUUGUGGUGAGAGAAAGCUUCUCCACCAUCUUCAUGCUAGCCAAGUUGUUGCAGCUCCCUCCGUCUAUGAUGACGCGCACAGAACGUUCCUUCACAACUCCCUUGGUAUGGAACAAAUUGUGCCUCUGAUUUUGCUCAGCUUGUGUGAUCUGCACACUCAAAACACGUUGAGCAACUAAACAUUCAUACCUGUCAGCGUCUUCAGGAGUCAUGUAUUGCGUCUCAUGAUCAGAAUCAUCUCCAUCAUGUUCUUCAUGUGUAAUAAGAGCCAAAGUCUCCUCAUCAUAGUCACUAGCAGACUCAUAUCCACCAUCCGCGGUAGCAAUCAUCACACGCCGAGAUUUGCACUCCCUCGCAUAAUGACCUCCUCCCUUACAACGACGACAAAUAAUAUCACUUGUGUGCCCUGUUGAUGCCAUGGAAGAAGAAGAACGCUAUGCAGGCCCCGCAGGUGCGCUCUUGGCAGAUAAUGGUGGUUGUGCUUGUUUUCUUGUAUCACGGCUGGAGGUGGCACCGGAUGGAGGUGUUGGUGCAGUUGAAGUAGAAGAUGCACGUGGUGUCCAUGAUGAAGGUCGGCCUGCAGAAAAGUUAGUUCGCCCCAAUGCUUGUCGAUCCUGCACUUCACGUUCAGCUUUACAAGCAAGAUGGAAUAAACGAGUGAUAUUAGUAUACUCCUUAUAGUCUAGAAUGGUCUGAAUCUCUCUAUUUAAUCCACCCAGAAAACGUGCAAGCAUAGCUUCAUUCUCCUCAACAAUACCACAUCUAAUCAUGCCAGUUUGUAAUUCCUGAUAAUAUUCUUCUACAGAAUUUUUCCCUUGUCUUAAACGCUGCAAUUUUUGAAGCAAUUCACGUUGAUAAUAUGGUGGAACCCAACGCGUACGCAUAGCAGUUUUCAAAGCAGCCCAAGUAGUUGGAAUAGGAUAUAAUCUACAAUGUUCAGACCACCAUACACAUGCAAAACUAGUGAAAGCACAAACAGCAGCAGCAACUCGUCUCUCCUCAGGAUAUUGUAAACAUGUAAAUCGUUGUUCAGUUUCUAACUCCCAAGUAAGAUAUAUACCAGGAACAUAUCUACCCUCAAAUGGUGGAAUAUUCAAUUUUAGUUUAGGAAUAUGGACAUCAUCUCGUACCUGAGGUGGUGGUGCAGGCCUACCAUUAUGAAUAUAUACCUGAGGUCGACCUGCUGGUGGUGGUACAGGUGGCUGCACGUAGUGCUGAUUUUGAUCAACCUCAUCCUCAUAAUCUCCCACAUAAUCAUCCUCCUCCGCAUCAGCAGUAGGAGCCACAGAAGUAUCAACAGCAGCACCAACAGUUUUGCCAAACGCAAGAGGAACACGGCUUGCUCGGCGGAGGUCUGUUUCGCGACGUGGAGGUAGUCGUUGUUGUUGUUGUUGUUGUUGUUGGAGAGGUGCGUUAGGUGCAGCGGGUGGUGGUGGUGGAAGACGCGCGAGCAAUUCAUUAAACUUGUUAUCGAGCUUUGUUUCGAACGUCUUCUCAAGGCCAGUGAUCUUCUCCAUGGCCUCUUCAAAAUUGUUCAGCACAUCUUGCACCUGUUCAGUCAUCAUUUGCUGAAACUUAUCAUGAAGCUCCUUCUUCGAUAAAUUCUCCCAGUCAAUCUCGUCGGCUUGUGAUCCUAGCAUGGUUAGCAGCAAUAGAAACACACAAGAAUAUGAUCCUACAGACUACGAACAAGUGGUGGUGGUGGGUGUCACAAAUCCGUCAAGCAAAACUCAAAUUCUUACCAGUUCUUACCCAGCAACAGGCGGUGAUCGGCAACCAUUGUAGUCAAAACUCUCAAAGCUUGGAUAGAGCGAUUACCAGGGAGAGUCAAACGCACGACGUAGAUGUAUGUGUUGCUGGGAAGGCUUAUAAUAUGGUAGCAAAAAGGGUCAGCAAUAAUCAAUUCAGAGAUGCAAAGUUGAAUAAACGCUCAACGACGGUACUGUGCUGGUCCUAGGCUAGACUAUGCUAGAGACGCGAGCCUAGAACACCAACAAAAUCACGGCGCGGCACGUAAACAAGGGAGGAGCACACUCUGAAUUUUUUUUCUCUUUUUUUUUGCACUUUUUUCCCUUUUUUUUGCUCCGCAACAAAUUUUUUCGAAAAAGUCUACAAAUGGUCUAAAAACUGCCUAGCCAGAAUUUUCCAGACUAUUUUUUGAAAUUGGAACUAUUUUUCUUCUGCGGAUGGCUCGGAAGUUGGGGAGUCCUUCUCUGUCACGACUCAGAGUAUCGCGUGAUAUGGAAAUCGAGAACAAUGCAACAAUUACAGGACUCGGCCUAGGACUGGUGGCGGAGAUGAAUCUGGUGGAACUCGGACUAGUGGCGGAGAUGAAUCUGGUGGAACACGGACAGGUGGCGGAUAUAUGUUGCAGGUGAACUCGGAUUGGCGUGAUGGCGGCGGAUAUGUGGUGGCGUAUAUGGAUUCGGAUUGGCGGUGAAUAUGUGGUGGUGGUAUAUGGCAACAGCGACGAUGAUGAUGUGAUGGUGAUAUAUGGCAGCGGCGACGUGACAACCUGUGAACAGAACUCGAAACUCUAAAAGACUAGACGCUAAAACCAGCAACUGGACACGACGAUGCAACCGCAAAUUCAACAAAGAAAAUACAGAAAAGAUUAUGCAAGGCUCAGAUUGGUUCAGAUGGGAUGAACUAACCCUAAUUUUUUUUUGGCUUUUUCGUGGACUAUAGGUAUGAAGAACAGACUCGAUCUAAACUACGAAAAACUGUAAAAUCUCACCGAGCAACCUGGUAAUCUGAUACCACUUGAUAGAGGCAAAGGUGUCCCGUCUUUCGAUGAGAUGAUGGAUAUCGCUUUGGUGGAAGCCGACUUUGACGAUCCGACUACGAACGUGCGAGGACGUCGCGCCUUAGCAAUCGCUAAACCAACUCCGAGAGGUUAUUGACCACGCCGGAGCACGAUCAACCUGACCACGAGGGUCUGUUUCCUGCGAGCAAACGAAGAACAAGGAAGAAACUAAGAUUGCAAUCUGGAUAUUGCGAAUAUAAGAUGAAAGCUUUAUUGAUCAAGGUGGGGUUCUGUGACGCCUUUGUCUGGUCAUUGAACACAAACGAAGUACGCGAAGUUGCAGCUAUGGCGAACUUUUAAUCUAAACAAAACCCAAAGUCUAAACGGUGCCCUAAGGGCUGUAUAUAUGGAGGAAGAGAGGGGGAAUUUCGUGGCCCUUGGUGGAGGGGUCCGAAAUCAACCCUAUCUCUUGUUUCCCCACACAUACGGACUCUAAAAAUAGCCUAUACUUAUGUAUUUCGAAAUUACAUGGGCCUGGCCCAAUAAAAAGGUGAUGCAGCACCUAUAAUAGCCUCGGGACGAAAUUUAUGAAGUGGCAUCUUGUAUAUUUCGUCCAUGGCUUCAUGCACCCAUUAUGGUGGCUUCAAAGUCCUGAAAUCAUCACUUGUAACUCCGUUCUUGUUCCCCUUGCGCAUGGCAUCAUCUCCAUGCUUGUUCUUGCUCCAAUGUUCAUCCUUCUCCAAGCUAGGCCCUUCAUUUGUAAGCAAAACAAAUGUAUCCAAUUUAGGCAGCAUCAUAUUCUCAUGAACAUUAGAAUCAGUACCAAGAAACGAAAGUACUUGAUAAUUUAAUUGGCGUGCGCGAGCUCUAGUAAUUGGUCCCAUAUAUGUAGCAGUAGGGGCUGUGGGUGUAACAAUGGUAUUGAUGUCCUCAUCACUAGGUGCAUGAUGAGGACAUCAAUAUAAUUGUUACACCCACAGCCCCUGCUGCUAUACAUACUGGACCAAUUACUAGAGCUCGUGCACGCCAACUAAAUUACCAGGUACUUUCGUUUCUUGGUAAUGAUUCUAAUGUUCAUGAGAAUAUGAUGCUGCCUAAAUUGAAUACAUUUGUUAUGCUUACAAAUGAAGGGCCUAGCUUGGAGAAGGAUGAACAUUGGAGCAAGAACAAGCAUGGAGAUGAUGGCAUGCGCAAGGGGAACAAGAACGGACUUACAAGUGAUGAUUUCAGGACUUUGAAGCCACCAUAAUGGGUGCAUGAAGCCUUGGACGAAAUAUACAAGAUGCCACUUCAUAAAUUUCGUCCUGAGGCUAUUUUAGGUGCUGCGUCACCUUAUUAUUGGGCCAGGCCCAUGUAAUUUCGAAAUACAUAAGUAUAGGCUAUUUUUAGAGUACGUAUGUGUGGGGAAACAAGAGAUAGGGUUGAUUUCGGACCCCUCCACCAAGGGCCACGAAAUUCCCCCCUCUUCCUCCAUAUAUACACCUUCAGGUUUUGUUGUUGCAGGAUGACGAUAACGAAUAGUAAUAUUAUUAAUGCCUCUACAAUCAACGCACAUACGUGACGUGCCAUCCUUUUUCGGCACUAAAAUGAUAGGAACAACACAAGGACUAAGGGAUUCGCGUAUAUAACCUUUGUCGAGCAGUUCUUGUACUUGACGCAUAAUCUCCUUUGUCUCCUCUGGAUUGGUACGGUAUGGUGCACGGUUGGGUAGCGAAGCACCGGGAAUUAAGUCAAUUUGAUGCUCAAUCCCGCGAAUAGGUGGUAAUCUCGGUGGCACGUCUUGUGGAAAGACGUCAGCGAACUCCUGCAAAAUGUUAGUGACAGCAGGGGGCAAAGAGGAAGGCACGUCCUCGAAUGAAAAUAAUGCCUCUUUGCACACAAAAGCAUAGCAAACAGAUUUGCUAAAAUCUAGCUCAUCAAUAUCAGAUUUGGUGGCAAGUAAACAUGCACUUUUCAAUUUAAUUUCAGAAACAACAGUAGAUGGUGUAUUAUUAGGCUUCAUUUGGUGCUCAAAUUCUUUUGCCACAAUCUGAUUUUCACUCUUAUUUGUCUCCUGUUUUGCUUUAUUAGCUCUAUUAAUAUCAUCUUUCAAAAUGGAAUCAGGAGUCAUAGGAAGCAAAGUAAUAUUCUUAUCGUUAUGAACAAGAGUAUACUGAUUGUUUCUACCAUGGUGUACAGAAUUUUUAUCAAAUUGCCAUGGUCUACCAAGUAAUAAGGAACAUGAUAGAGGCGGGGUGUCCCGAUCUUUCGAUGAGAUGAUAACUAUCGAUUUGGUGGAGAUGACUUUGACGAUCCGACUACAAACGUGCAACGACGUUGUGCCUUAGCAAUCGCUAAACCAACUCCGAGAGGUUAUUGACCACGCCGGAGCACGAUCAACCUGACCACGAAGGUCUAUUCCUGCAAGCAAUCGAAGAACAAGCAAGAAUAUGAUAAAAGCAAUUUGAAUAUCGCGAAUAUGUAUGAAGUAUUGAUAAUGGUGGGGAUCCGAAAAGUGGUCUUGGUCUGGUCGUUGGACACAAACGAAGCACACGAAGUUGCAAUGGCUAACUUUUAACUAAACAAAUCCGAACGAAAAGCUACUAGAUGGAUCUACUUAUAUAGGAGCAAGGGGUAGCGGCCAAGGAGGUGGGAGGACGUCCCAAGGCAGCCUAAAACUAAAUCUAGGUCGUACAAGGCCAAUGGGCCCAAGUGGAGGUGAUGUAACACCUUUGGACUUGUAGUUUGACUCGGAUUCUGCUGCAGCAUCAGAUUGUUUCGAACACAACUCAACGCUCCGGAUGAAUUUGAAGGUGAUUCCAAUUGGGUUGGAAAGUGCACGAAAUCUAGUUUCCAACAAAAAAAGAAUCACCCAAUUCGGAGUCCGUAUGAAAAACUUGUGUGCGUUUUGAGUCAGGUAUGUCUGUGCAGUCCGAAUCUGAAUCCAGAAGGUGAGAGACUUGGACUCUAUCUUCUCUUGGGCCAAAAGUGACGUGAGAGAACUUUUUGGACAGCAAAUAAACAUCUCUUUCUUCCUUAUCUUCAUAUGUGGAUUGUACAAAUGUCCCAUACACCUGCAAUUAGACAAAACACAAAAGUGUGUGAAGUAUUUUUGUUCGAGAUAACAUAAAUAGAUUAUUGAAUAGUUUGCACUAGAAAUCACCUGACAAAUAUGCAUAUAUGCAAUAUUUUCGGUCAUAUCCAAGGUAGUCGUGUCCUCAUCAGAACAUGCUUGCAUAGGUACCACAUCACAAUCAACAUAAUCAGCAUAUGUAGAGAUACUAAAAUGCACACGAACAGUACGUGUUACCUUAACCUUGCCGCUGUUGUUGAACCAUUGGAUGUUGUAAGGAUGUGGAUGUGGUCUUGUGGUGAGAGAUAGAUUCUCCACCAUCUCCAUGCUAGCCAAGUUAUUGCAGCUCCCUCCAUCUAUGAUCACGCGAACAGAACGUUCCUUCACAACUCCCUUUGUAUGGAACAAAUUAUGCCUCUGAUUUUGCUUAGCUUGUGUAACCUGCACACUCAAAACACGUUGAGCAACUAAACAUUCAUACCUGUCAGCAUCUUCAGGAGCCAUGUAUUGCGUCACAUGAUCAGAAUCGUCUCCACCAUGUUCUUCACGUGUAAUAAGAGCCAAGGUCUCCUUAUCGUAGUCACUAGCGGACUCAUACCCACCAUCCUCAGUAACAAUCAUCACACGCUUAGAUGGGCAUUCUCUCGCAUAAUGACCUCCACCCUUGCAACGUCGACAAAUAAUAUCAUGUGUUUGCCCUGUUGAUGCCAUGGAUGAAGAAGAGCUCUUUGCAGGCCCAGAAGGUGUGCUCUUCGCAGAUAGUGGUGAUUGUGCCUGCUUUAUUGUAUCACGGUUGGAGGUGGCAGCCGACGGAGGCGCCGGUGUAGCAGAACGUGUGGAAGUAGAUGAUGCACGUGGUGUCCAUGAUGAAGGUCGACCUGCAGAAAAGUUAGUCCGCGCCAAUGCCUGUCGAUCCUGCACUUCACGUUCAGCUUUACAAGCAAGAUGGAAUAAGCGAGUGAUAUUAGUAUACUCCUUAUACUCUAGAAUCGUCUGAAUCUCUCUAUUUAAUCCACCCAUAAAACGUGCAAGCAUAGCUUCAUUCUCCUCAACAAUACCACAUCUAAUCAUGCCAGUUUGUAAUUCCUGAUAAUAUUCUUCUACAGAAUUGUUCCCCUAUCUUAAGCGCUGCAAUUUUUGAAGUAAUUCACGUUGAUAAUAUGGUGGAACCCAACGAGUACGCAUAGCAGUUUUCAAAGCAGCCCAAGUAGCCGGAAUAGGAUAUAAUCUACAAUGCUCAGACCACCAAACACAUGCAAAACUAGUGAAUGCACAAACAGCAGCAGGAACACGUCUCUCCUCGGGAUACUGUAAACAUGUAAAUCGUUGUUCAGUUUCUAACUCCCAAGUAAGAUAUAUAUCAGGAACAUAUCUACCCUCAAUGAUGAGGACAUGAAUACCUUGGAUACGACCAAAAAUAUUGCAUACAUGCAUAUUUGUCAGGUGAUUUCUAAUGCAAACUAUUCAAUAAUCUAUUUAUGUUAUCCAGAACAAAAAUACUUCACACAUUUUUGUGUUUUGUCUAAUUGCAGGUGUAUGGGACAUUUGUACAAUCCACAUAUGAAGAUAAGGGAAAAGGAGAAGUUCAGGUUGUGUUCAAAAAGUCCUCUCACGUCACUUUUGGGCCAAGAGAAGAUAGAGUCCAAGUCUCUCACGUUUUGGAUUCAGAUUCGGACUGCACAGACAUACCUGACUCAAAACGCCAACAACUUUUUCAUACGGACUCCGAAUUGGGCGAUUCUUUUUUUUUGUUGGAAACUAGAUUUCGUGCUCUUUCCAACCCAAUUGGAUUCACCUUCAAAUUCGUCCGGAGCGUUGAGUUACGGACGAAACAAUCUGACAUUGCAGCAGAAUCCGAGUCAAACUACAAGCCCAAAGGUGUUGCAUCACCUCCACUUGGGCCCAUGAGCCUUGUACGACCUAGGGUUAGUUUUAGGCUGCCUUGGGACGUCCUCCCACCUCCUUGGCCACCACCCCUUGCUCCUAUAUAAGUAGAUCCAUCUAGUAGCUUUUUCCUUGGGAUUUGUUUAGUUAAAAGUUAGCCAUUGCAACUUCGUGUGCUUCGUUUGUGUCCAACGACCAGACCAAGACCACUUUUCGGAUCCCCACCAUUAUCAAUACUUCAUACAUAUUCGCGAUAUUCAGAUUGCUUUUAUCAUAUUCUUGCUUGUUCUUCGAUUGCUUGCAGGAAUAGACCUUCGUGGUCAGGUUGAUCGUGCUCCGGCGUGGUCAAUAACCUCUCGGAGUUGGUUUAGCGAUUGCUAAGGCGCAACGUCGUGCACGUUUGUAGUCGGAUCGUCAAAGUCGUCUCCACCAAAUCGAUAGUUAUCAUCUCAUCGAAAGAUCGGGACACCCCGCCUCUAUCAAGUGGAUGAUGAGGACAUGAAUACCUUGGAUACGACCAAAAAUAUUGCAUACAUGCAUAUUUGUCAGGUGAUUUCUAAUGCAAACUAUUCAAUAAUCUAUUUAUGUUAUCCAGAACAAAAAUACUUCACACAUUUUUGUGUUUUGUCUAAUUGCAGGUGGAUGGGACAUUUGUACAAUCCACAUAUGAAGAUAAGGGAAAAGGAGAAGUUCAGGUUGUGUUCAAAAAGUCCUCUCACGUCACUUUUGGGCCAAGAGAAGAUAGAGUCCAAGUCUCUCACGUUUUGGAUUCAGAUUCGGACUGCAAAGACAUACCUGACUCAAAACGCCAACAACUUUUUCAUACGGACUCCGAAUUGGGCGAUUAUUUUUUUUGUUGGAAACUAGAUUUCGUGCUCUUUUCAACCCAAUUGGAUUCACCUUCAAAUUCGUCCGGAGCGUUGAGUUACGGACGAAACAAUCUGACAUUGCAGCAGAAUCCGAGUCAAACUACAAGCCCAAAGGUGUUGCGUCACCUCCACUUGGGCCCAUGAGCCUUGUACGACCUAGGGUUAGUUUUAGGCUGCCUUGGGACGUCCUCCCACCUCCUUGGCCGCCACCCCUUGCUCCUAUAUAAGUAGAUCCAUCUAGUAGCUUUUUCCUUGGGAUUUGUUUAGUUAAAAG
rnacentral:lncRNA from 1 species